CAAUAUUGUAAACAGUUUUCAGAUUUGGCUUGGGAUUGAACUCAGCGUUUCCAAGGCAACUGUUCUACCGACCGAGCGUCUCCCCCGGUUCCAUUGACUGAUCAAUUUCUCAACAACAGAAUAUCUCAGUUCAGUUGAUUUGUGAACAACACUCACAAUGAUUCUUACCAUACAGGUAAAGUUUCCCUGAUGGUAAGUGUCCUGAGAACCCGGACUUUAUUCCAUCUCUGGUGGACUAAGCCAGCCUGGGCUUCCGUGAUGGCAUCUAUGGCUCUAAACCAGGCAGCUGGUUGGGUCAGUCACUUGGAUUUCAGGUGUGCAAAGUUUGAUGCAUGCCAUUGGACAGGGA
rnacentral:lncRNA from 1 species